UACGGGGGGAGCAAGCGUUGUUCGGAUUUACUGGGCGUAAAGGGCGCGUAGGCGGCCACUGCAAGUCAGUUGUGAAAUCUCCGGGCUUAACUCGGAAAGGUCAACUGAUACUGCAGGGCUAGAGUCCGGAAGAGGCGAGUGGAAUUCCUGGUGUAGCGGUGGAAUGCGCAGAUAUCAGGAGGAACACCAAUAGCGAAGGCAGCUCGCUGGGACGGUACUGACGCUAAGGCGCGAAAGCGUGGGGAGCGAACAGG
rnacentral:rRNA from 1 species